rnacentral:rRNA from 1 species
GCGCGAAAACUUUACAAUGCUGGCAACAGCGAUAAGGGAACCUCGAGUGCCAGGUUACAAAUCUGGCUGUCGAGAUGCCUAAAAAGCAUUUCAUAGCAAGGGCCGGGCAAGACCGGUGCCAGCCGCCGCGGUAACACCGGCGGCUCGAGUGGUAACCGUUAUUAUUGGGUCUAAAGGGUCUGUAGCCGGCCGGAUAAGUCUCUUGAGAAAUCUGGCAGCUUAACUGUCAGGCUUUCAGGAGAUACUGUCUGGCUCGAGGCCGGGAGAGGUGAGAGGUACUUCAGGGGUAGGGGUGAAAUCUUGUAGUCCUUGAAGGACCACCAGUGGCGAAUGCGUCUCACCAGAACGGACCUGACGGCAAGGGACGAAAGCUAGGGGCACGAACC